rnacentral:rRNA from 1 species
AUCGAACGCUGGCGGCAGGCCUAAUACAUGCAAGUCGAGCGAGCGGCGGACGGGUGAGUAAUGCCUAGGAAUCUGCCUGGUAGUGGGGGAUAACUCCUGGAAACGGUGGCUAAUACCGCAUACUAACGGAUGAACACAUAUGGGAUUAGCUAGUAGGUGGGGUAAAGGCUAACCUAGGCGACGAUCUCUAGCUGGUCUGAGAGGAUGAUCAGCCACAGUGGAACGGAGACACGGCCCAGACGCCUACGGGAGGCCGCAGUGGGGAAUAUUGCACAAUGGGAGAAAGCCUGAUGCAGCCAUGCCGCGUGUAUGAAGAAGGCCUUAGGGUUGUAAAGUACUUUCAUCGGGGAGGCGUUACCCGCAGAAGAAGCACCGGCUAACUCCGUGCCAGCAGCCGCGGUAAUUC